UUUCAUGAUGAAAAAGAGCUUCAGUGCUCGAUUUAACCCAGCUCGUUGAGGAGGGAGUAACGCCCCGAUAUUCCUAUGAGAUCAUUUUCUUUUCCUGAUUA
rfam:Piloderma croceum F 1598 unplaced genomic scaffold scaffold_00017, whole genome shotgun sequence.